rnacentral:rRNA from 1 species
ACGAACGCUGGCGGCGUGCUUAACCCAUGCCAGUCGAACGGAAAGGCCCUGCUUGCAGGGUACUCGAGUGGCGAACGGGUGAGUAACACGUGGGUGAUCUGCCCUGCACUUCGGGAUAAGCCUGGGAAACUGGGUCUAAUACCGGAUAGGAGCCAUUUUUAGUGUGAUGGUUGGAAAGUUUUUUCGGUGUAGGAUGAGCUCGCGGCCUAUCAGCUUGUUGGUGGGGUAAUGGCCUACCAAGGCGGCGACGGGUAGCCGGCCUGAGAGGGUGGACGGCCACAUUGGGACUGAGAUACGGCCCAGACUCCUACGGGAGGCAGCAGUGGGGAAUAUUGCACAAUGGGCGCAAGCCUGAUGCAGCGACGCCGCGUGGGGGAUGACGGCCUUCGGGUUGUAAACUCCUUUCGCUAGGGACGAAGCUUUUUGUGACGGUACCUAGAUAAGAAGCACCGGCUAACUACGUG